CCGUUCACUCCCUUCGCACACGAAUCUCAAAGCGGACAGCCACACACCCCUCACAGGCGAGCUCGGUCGGAGCGGCGGCGGCGGCGGCGGCGAACCGACCCUACCUUGCCGGCGGCGAGCGGCGGCGGCGGAUGGGCAUGGAGGCGAGGAGGAAGAUGAGGUUCGCGAUGGUGUGCUCGUCGAACAUGAACCGGAGCAUGGAGGCGCACUCGCUGCUCGGCCGCGCGGGGCUCGACGUCGCCUCCUACGGCACCGGCACCCACGUCAAGCUCCCCGGCCCUUCCCUCCACGAGCCCAACGUCUACGACUUCGGCACCCCCUACAACGUCAUCUACGACGACCUCCGCCGCAAGGACCCCGACCUGUACAAGAGGAACGGCCUGCUGCCAAUGCUGAAGAGGAACACCUCAGUCAAGCUGGCGCCGCAGAGGUGGCAGGACAAUGCCGGCGAUGGGCUGUUUGAUGUGAUAUUCAGCUUUGAGGAGAGGGUCUUCGACUUAAUCGUCGAUGGUAAUCAACUGAUAACAAUUAACAAUAGGGAUAUGCAUAACCGUGAGCAAAGGAUGCUAAAGAACGCGCUGAUAAUCAAUAUGGAUGUGAAAGAUAACCAUGAAGAAGCUGGUGUUGGUGCAAAGCUUGCUUUAGAUUUGUGUCAGAAGCUUGAAGGGGCAGAUGAAGAUUGGGAGGAAAUUAUUGAUGACCUGAUUAUUACAUUUGAGAAGCAGCACAAGCGGAAGCUCACAUACAACAUGGCAUUUUACUAACUUCUGUAGUUCAUCGUGCGGAUUAUACAGAGGCAGCAGAAUCAUUCUUAAAUUAACUCGAUCGUGUGGAUGGCUGGUAGCUUGGCAUGCAGGGAAAUGUACAAAAACUGAGGUACCAACUGGAUCCAAGUGUGGUUCCUGUUCCAUGCCAACAAAUGGGGGAAGAUGUGUGAAACUUGAUUAAAGAAAAUAUGUUCUGCGUUGAGUCGCUCGAUUGUUGUUAGAGGAUAAUUGGAUAUUCAGAUGUUGAUCUUGAAGCUACCCAUCAUCUCAAAACCAUGCAGCACCGAAUGUUACUCAUUUGCUUUAGUGGCUGCCUAAAAUUCAUGGGGUGCUAUUCGCAAGGCGAUGAAUCAUCUGCCGGUGCCAGAAUCCUGUGGGAUGACGAGAGGUCUGACUUUCCCAGUGCUGUUUCGUUCCACGGUCAGGUGGCUGUCACUCACUUUCAAGUUGGUUUUUUUUUUUGCUAUAAAUUUUGCCGUUUUCUGCCGUACCAGUUCGGCCGUCAUAGUACGGGCUCACUACCUGUCUAGCUCAGUGUUCUGAAUAUUACUGUGAAUAUUGACCUCCUUAAUUCUUUUUUGUUCUUUUUCUUCUCUCUCUCUUCUUUUGCUGAAAGGAAAGCCUUCUAGAGGUCUACUUCCCCGUAAAAAAAAAUUAGGAUGGGAUGUGACACAUUAUACUACUACGAAUCUGGACUUAUCUUUGUCCAGAUUUGUUGUAUUAUAAUAUAUCACGUGUGAGAUAGGGGGAGUAAGUGAUAACUCAGUUGAAUGCAGAAUUGUUAGUGGAGAUUAAUUGGGUCCAGGAGAUGGAACUUAGCUCCAUCUUGUCAUGUACUCCAUCAAAUGUAUAUUGUUGGUCUA